GUCAAAUCAUUCAAAAUCCAUUUCUCUUAUCUCCAACGGCUACUUCAAACUUCCCUUCUCUCUCUUCUUUCUCUCUUUCACUCCCUUCUCUCCAUCCCCAACAAUGAAGCACUUCAUGCUUCCAAGAAACCCAAUGGCGAGGGACGCAGAAGAGCUUCAAUCUUCAUCAAGCCCUCGCAGCUCCGCCAAAACCAGACCCUCUUCUCGUAAACACCGUCCAAAGAAAACGAUCCUCCUUCAGAUCACAACAUCAUCGUCCCGUAUUCACCCUCUCAUGGAAAAUCGAAGAAGAGUCCGUUACCGCCAAGACCUCCAUCUUCCAAUCCUCUCAAACGCAAACUCUCGACACCGUCGCCGGCGGCAACUUCCGAUUCCGGUGUUAAGGUUAUUGUGAGGAUGAGGCCGUUGCGGAAGGAUAAGGACGAAGGAGAUCCUAUAGUUCAAAAGAUUUCUGGUGGCCGUACUUUCACGUUUGAUUCUGUUGCUGAUGUUGAAGCUACUCAGGUUUCUAAAAUUGUGCCUCAAGUAGUGUGAUGUUUCUAUUGCCUCGCGGUUUCGGAGUUGAUUUUGAUUUAGCUCUGGAAUAUGUAUAGAUGCAUAUAUUUUUUGAAGGGCCUCGGAUAGAGUUGAUUCCUACAUGAAUUACUCUACGAUUGCUUAAUAUGGCACUAAAUUCAAGUCCCAAUUUCGGUUGCCUUUCGGUCAUGUGGCUUUUCUCUUGGGCUUUCUUACGAGCACUUCAAAAGCAAAGUAAGCACAUACUCAUACUCCUGGAGACUCAAGGAAGCUAAAGGCAUUAUUUUUCGUCUCCAAAAGUAGUUGUAAAGGGGCAUCGGACUCUCUCCGAUAGGUAACGCUUCACACUCUUUGAACUUUUGCUCAUCAUUUUCGACCAUUCUUGAUACUGAAUCACUGCUUGGGUUAACAUGAGUUGAAGCCCUAUGAAAAUAGGCAUUGAUUGUUUGUAUGCGUGAUUUAAUUUCACUCUCUUGAGUUAUCCCUGAGAUACUUUGUCAUGAUACUUGCUUGAGAUGUAUGCUUUGAUUGCUUGAUUCCUCAUUGUUAUUGCUCGUGUCACCAAAUCCAAAAGAAUGGGAUAGUCUUGACUAAAAUUGUAACGGUAUUUACUCUCUUUUCCUCCUCUUUUACUUUGUGUUUAUUAUUGUUAAAGUUUAGCACUUUCUCUAUGUUUUAAAAAUGAUUUUGUAUUGUUAAACUCAACCUCUUUUUAAAUCAACCUUGAUUUUAUAUUGUUAAAUCUCAACCACCACUCUUUUAAUUCAUCAUUGCCGUGUAUUCUUAAACUCUCACACAAAUUGUCCUUGAAAUUUUUUCGAGUUUAGCCUUUUAAAUGAAAAAAAAAAAAACUUGUUAUUUGAUUUAUUAAAAACACCAAUAACACCACCCAUGAUAUAGAUUAUAAUGGUGAGAUGUCAAACAAAAUAAAAAUGAAAUUGCAGCCAUUACAUGAAAAUAGUAUUUAAAAUGUGUUAAUAAUAAUAAUAAUUAUAUUUAAAGUUUUCAAUUAAUCUUUCAAAAAGAUUAGAAAAGUUCGCAUAUCUAGUAUCUGGAUCAGUUAAUAUAUAAAUGGAUUUUCGAAUUUAUCAACUACAAAUCACAAUAUGCCCAAGCCCAACCAACCUCUUGCUCUUUAUUUUCAAACUCUUCAACUCAAAAUCCCCACCCAUCAUCUCCUUCACACUUUGUGGUCAACUAUUAAAUUAAAACAAAUAACAUAAGUACCAAUAAAAAAAAGAUUUCAAACUAUUAAAAUAUAAUAUUGUAUACAGACAAUAUUUAUAGAUUAAGAUUUUCGACAGGAACUUCAUUGACCACCAUAUUAACAUGUACGAGGUCAUUUUCAACAACACAGACGGCUGAUUGUGACGAUUUAUCUCCAACCUUCGUUUCUGAAAAUAUGUCCAAAAAUUAAGACAAACACAAACAACCAAUAGAGAAUAAAGUAGUUAAGAAAAUCACAAUGCUUAUGUACAAAAAUUGAAAGAAAGAAAAACACACAAACAAGGAAGAAUAAAGUGGUUAAGAAUAUCAUAUUGCUUAAAAUAGUUACAAACUUAAACAAAACAUAAAAGAGUUACAGGGUCCAUCCAACAGAGGGUGGUCAACUUUUACUUUAUGGGAGUGUCGUAUGAGAUAAUUUACCUCCAAGAAAUAGUGAACCGUUUUUCCGCCACACCGAACUAUUAUAUGUUAGACCGUAGCCCAGCAAGAUCAACAUAAGAGCCUGGAAUUACCUACUCAUAAUUAAUUACAAUUAAAUUAUAAGAUGUGUAAAUGAAACAAAUAUCCAUUAAAAAAUGAAAAUUGUAAUGAGACAUAUAGUCAAAUAAAUUCAAAACAAACAUGAAAAACAAAAUGUUUUUUUAACCAACUAAGCUAAAUGAGGAUUGAUACAGACAGCACAACAUUUCCCAUCAAUAAAAAGUUUAGUUAAGUAGUGUGUGCAUGAAUAUGAAAAAAUUACUCCAUAUUUCUGUACGGUGCAAUAUACCUUCUCAAUCACAACCUUAUUACAAAUACUUGGAAUCUUCUGAAUAAUUUUUUCUAUGAUAUGUAUAGAAGCUGCAUAAAGGUUUGUGGCCUCGAAUUCCAGAGAAGGUCGUCGAUGUUCCCUGUUGUGAAUCAUGAAACAAAAUUGGUGUCAUGUCAAAAUUUGGUCAACACUUGACUUGUAAGCUUUCAUAACAAAAUAGGACUGAAUGACCAACAAAACUGAAGUGGGGAAAGGGUUUAGAAAAAGCAAAGAUGGUAGGAGAAAAUGUUUGAUGGUACUACAGGUACGGGUACACGAUAAAAAUGAAAUUUAAUGAAUAUGUUUAAAAUAAGCAUCCAUAUGUUAUAUAAAAUUGCACGACUAAAGAACUGAAACAAAAAUGAAGAUAUAACCAUGUGUUUUGUAAUUCUCCCAGCAUCGGAGAGUUAUGUUUAUUGGCAGGAAGGACGUAGGAAAACAGUCUCCAUAGUAGAUUGUUAUGCCAAUAACUUCCCCAGAUAUAUUAAUUACAACACCACCCUCACCGCACUACAACAAAGACAAAUAAAGAUCCAAGAGAUAAGCUAUCAAAGUCAAAGAGUCGAACAACAAGGGACAAACAGAGAUACAAUGGAUAAGCUAUCAAAAUUAAAAAUGAGUCGGACAACCUUCAUAAAUGUAGAGAAAUACUUCAUAAAAAUAGUAUAUAGGUGAAAAAGAAAUACAUGUUAAUAAAUAAAGCAAAAAUAAUAAAAUGAUAACAAGGAAACUAGGCCAUAAUUAAAAUGGAUAGAAAUUACUUUUGUAAUAUUGAAGUCCCAAUGAAAAGCUCCUUACAAUCACGAUUGCAGCAUGCAAGAUUGGAAAGGAACAAAAAAAUUAAUAACAAUGAAAUUAUACCAAAAUAAAGUAACAAAUUAUCCAAAGAUGAAAAUUUUAAGCAAUAAAGAGAACAAGUGUCUCUAUCAAACUAACAUGAAUUCGCCAGGGGAAUUGAUGAUAUCUUACGGCGGGGUAAAAUAACGUCCCACGACCAUUAUUAGAUCACCUGAAACAAUGUUAUUGGAAUGUGGACUCAUAUGUAACAACUACUUCUCUUUUUUUGGAUGGAUUAACAUUUAUAAAAUGAUUUGAAUCCCUUAACUUUACAGUGACGUGAGAUAAUUAAAAACGAAACCUUAUUCAAACUAAGUUAUAGUGGAAAUUGAAUAAUUAUGAUUUAUUUUUGCAGAUUAAUAUAUGAUUAUUUGCAUGGCAAGGGCCUAAAAAGAUAGAAACAAAUGAAUUAUACAAAUGUAAAGGCUUAGACAUACGGUUGUAAUAUUUAGAAAAAAACAUGUUUGAAGUGGGGGUAAAACUUUAAGAUUUUCAGCUAAAACAUCUUCCAUCAUGUCUGAUUUUCUAGAAUGACGACGAAUGAGAUUGGCGGGCGUCAAAACAAUAUAACCAUUACUACCAUCCUUUUCAAUGAUGACUCUAGAACAUUGAGUCAACAUUAUAUCCCCUAUAUUGAAACACCAAAAUAAUAACAUGAGUAUUGAUUGAUAGAAUAAAACAAACAAGUAAAAUGAAUUACAGAGUUGAAUACUCAUAUAAAAUACAAGUGCAACAACAAAAGAAGAAAUCUUCAGAGCAACUAAUAUUCAGAGCAGCUUCUUUGAGUGUAUAUUCGAAAAUGCAUUAUCAGUUUCGAAUUCAAACCUUGUUACACUCAAAAGGAACAAAGUUUUUUCAGUUUGGUUGAAUCAAGUAUUAUUACUAUUUGUUGUUCUAAGUGUACCAAAUUGAAAAAACUUUGUUCUUAUGAGUGUACCAAAGUUUGAAUUCAAAGCUGAUAAUGAGUUUCCGAAUAUA